rnacentral:rRNA from 1 species
UACGUAGGGUGCGAGCGUUAAUCGGAAUUACUGGGCGUAAAGCGUGCGCAGGCGGUCUGUUAAGACCGAUGUGAAAUCCCCGGGCUUAACCUGGGAACUGCAUUGGUGACUGGCAGGCUUUGAGUGUGGCAGAGGGAGGUCGAAUUCCACGUGUAGCAGUGAAAUGCGUAGAGAUGUGGAGGAAUACCGAUGGCGAAGGCAGCCUCCUGGGCCAACACUGACGCUCAUGCACGAAAGCGUGGGGAGCAAACAGG